CCGCCUCCUCGUCCUCUUCCUUCCGCAACGGGAGCCCGUCAGAGACGGACUGUCCGGUGCCUCUGGAUCAGCAGCCGGUGAACGAGUACCAGUCCCUCUCAACCUCCCUCCCCUUCUCCUGGGCCACCGCCGACCUCCGCCUCUACUCCUCCCGCCUCGCCCUCACCGGCGCCUCCUUCGCCCUCAUCGUCGGCCUCCCCGUCUCCGCCUUCGGAACCGGCAGCCUCUCCGACCCCCGCUGCGCCCUCGGGGUCGUCUCCGCCGGUCUUCUCGCCGUCACGCUCGCCGUCCUCCGGAUGUACCUCGGAUGGGCUUACAUCGGCAACCGCUUGCUCAGCGCCACUG
rnacentral:lncRNA from 1 species